UUCGGCGGAAGCGUCGUUCGGA
rnacentral:siRNA from 1 species